GAACGUGUGUACUGUCCCGCUCACUGUAUUAGGACGUAUUCCGGAACCGAGCAGCGCCAUACAAUUCUUCCCGGGUCUAACACAUCCCGCCUCUCAUCCAAUAGACGUCCCGCUUUCAUUGGACCAAUCACUGUACAACAUUUUAGGAUGCACUUAGGACAAUUGAUCUCUGUUCUCCUGAUCUUGAGCUCCCAGCAGUCAGAUUACACCCCCCACUGGACAACUAGAUAGGACUUGCCGCCCCAGAGUGGAGAAUAAAGAAGACCUGGCCUUAGAGCAGUGGGAGGGAGGGGGUAAUAGUUUGCAAGUAUAAGCCAAACAAAGGCAAAACAGACCUAAUGGGCAAAGAAUAAACAUAACAGAAAUGCA